rnacentral:rRNA from 1 species
CCUACGGGAGGCAGCAGUGGGGAAUUUUGGACAAUGGGCGCAAGCCUGAUCCAGCCAUUCCGCGUGCAGGACGAAGGCCUUCGGGUUGUAAACUGCUUUUGUACGGAACGAAAAAGCCUUGGCUAAUACCCAGGGUCCAUGACGGUACCGUAAGAAUAAGCACCGGCUAACUACGUGCCAGCAGCCGCGGUAAUACGUAGGGUGCAAGCGUUAAUCGGAAUUACUGGGCGUAAAGCGUGCGCAGGCGGUUAUAUAAGACAGAUGUGAAAUCCCCGGGCUCAACCUGGGAACUGCAUUUGUGACUGUAUAGCUAGAGUGCGGCAGAGGGGGGAUGGAAUUCCGCGUGUAGCAGUGAAAUGCGUAGAUAUGCGGAGGAACACCGAUGGCGAAGGCAAUCCCCUGGGGCCUGCACUGACGCUCAUGCACGAAAGCGUGGGGAGCAAACAGGAUUAGAUACCCUGGUAGUCCCACCGACCCUAACCGACUGUCAACUAGGUUGGUUUGGGUUCGUUCUACUGACUCAGUAACGAAGACGUAACCGCGUGGUAAGUUAGGACCGCCCGUGGGGAGGUACGGCCGGCGAGGUUAGGAACGUACGAAAGGAAAGUUAGUACGGCGUGAGACGUCGCCGAACGGACGACCGACGGAGGGGAGGAGGG